GCACCUGUGUGGGAGUGCAGGGCCUUUAAUUAAUUCAGUGAAACAAACAGCAGAAACAAUGUGACUUCUCAGGCAAUGUUAUUAUUAGUUGUUUUACUCUUGUAGAACGUGGUUAUAGUAUGAAUCAAGGCUGGAUAACAUCUCUGUGGCUCUGCGUUGAGACGACAGGAAGUUAAGAAGUCAGCAGUGAAGUGGAUGUCAACAUCACAGAAGAAGAGCAGGACAUUCUGACUCCGCCUCCAAGCCCUGGCGCCCACCUCCAAGCCCCGCCCGCGAGAAAACUCCUCAUUCAGCUGGAUCAAAGUGAAGCUCCGGAACCGAGUCUCUCUGGGGGACAGAAGAACAAGAAGAAGGGCUGUUUUAAUUUGAAAUCAAUCAAAAACAACCAACCUGCAGUCACCAGACUGAUGCAGUAUUACAUUCUACAGUAUUUUACUCCCAAAAAACUAAGGUAUAAAAUAUUUAUCAUCCCAGUUUAUACACGAGAGAGGGGUGUGUGUUUUGCUCCCUGGGGAACCAGAGGUGUCAGGGGACUAGCUUAUCAUUAGCUUAUUAUUAGCCUGCAGCUGAUACACUGAACACUGAUACUCUCUGUGUGUUUUUUGUUUAUUUUACGGCCCAAACAUCUGCAGAGCAGCACAGACACAUCUGUGCGAGCGAAUUCCAAAAGAAGAAGAAGAAACAGAUUUCUAUAUGUCUUGCCAGAGGAGUGGACUCGAGUCACAUGACUUCAACUCAGGUCAUGAAUCUGAUGACUUGACAAAAUAAAAAAAAAGACUUGCAACUCA